GGAGUAGUACUCAAGAGGCUGAAGAGGCGCCCCUGCUAAGGGUGUAGGUCGGGUAACCGGCGCGGAGGUUCAAAUCCUCUCUACUCCACCA
rnacentral:tRNA from 1 species